rnacentral:rRNA from 1 species
AUGCAAGUCGAGGGGCAGCAUAGAAAUAGCUUGCUAUUUUGGUGGCGACCGGCGCACGGGUGCGUAACGCGUAUGCAACCUACCCUAUACUGGGGGAUAUCCCGGAGAAAUUCGGACUAACACCCCAUGGUGUUAAUGAGUGGCAUCACUUGUUAAUUAAAGGUUACGGUAUAGGAUGGGCAUGCGUCCCAUUAGCUAGUUGGUGUGGUAACGGCACACCAAGGCAACGAUGGGUAGGGGGCCUGAGAGGGUGAUCCCCCACACUGGUACUGAGACACGGACCAGACUCCUACGGGAGGCAGCAGUGAGGAAUAUUGGUCAAUGGGCGCAAGCCUGAACCAGCCAUGCCGCGUGCAGGAAGACGGUCCUAUGGAUUGUAAACUGCUUUUAUUCGGGGAUAAACCUCUUUACGUGUAGAGAGCUGAAGGUACCGAAAGAAUAAGCACCGGCUAACUCCGUGCCAGCAACCGCGGUAAUACGGAGGGUGCAAGCGUUAUCCGGAAUCAUUGGGUUUAAAGGGUCCGCAGGCGGGAUUGUAAGUCAGUGGUGAAAUCCGGCAGCUCAACUGUCGCACUGCCAUUGAUACUGCAGUCCUUGAAUUUGAUUGGAGUGGGCGGAAUAUGUCAUGUAGCGGUGAAAUGCUUAGAUAUGACAUAGAACACCGAUAGCGAAGGCAGCUCACUAAGUCUGAAUUGACGCUCAUGGACGAAAGCGCGGGUAGCAAACAGGAUUAGAUACCCUGGUAGUCCGCGCCGUAAACGAUGAUUACUCGUUGUCGGCUCUUCGGAGUCGGUGACCAAGCGAAAGUGAUAAGUAAUCCACCUGGGGAGUACGCUCGCAAGGGUGAAACUCAAAGGAAUUGACGGGGGCCCGCACAAGCGGUGGAGCAUGUGGUUUAAUUCGAGC